rnacentral:rRNA from 1 species
UAGCUAGUUGGUGAGGUAAAGGCUUACCAAGGCGACGAUCUGUAGCGGGUCUGAGAGGAUGAUCCGCCACACUGGAACUGAGACACGGUCCAGACUCCUACGGGAGGCAGCAGUGGGGAAUUUUGGACAAUGGGGGCAACCCUGAUCCAGCCAUGCCGCGUGAGUGAAGAAGGCCUUCGGGUUGUAAAGCUCUUUCGGCCGGGAAGAAAUCGCAUGGGCCAAUACCCUGUGUGGAUGACGGUACCGGAAUAAGAAGCACCGGCUAACUACGUGCCAGCAGCCGCGGUAAUACGUAGGGUGCGAGCGUUAAUCGGAAUUACUGGGCGUAAAGCGUGCGCAGGCGGUUUUGUAAGACAGGCGUGAAAUCCCCGGGCUUAACCUGGGAACUGCGUUUGUGACUGCAAGGCUAGAGUACGGCAGAGGGGGGUGGAAUUCCACGUGUAGCAGUGAAAUGCGUAGAGAUGUGGAGGAACACCAAUGGCGAAGGCAGCCCCCUGGGUCGAUACUGACGCUCAUGCACGAAAGCGUGGGUAGCAAACAGGAUUAGAUACCCUGGUAGUCCACGCCCUAAACUAUGUCAACUAGGUGUUGGGUGGGUAAAACCAUUUAGUACCGUAGCUAACGCGUGAAGUUGACCGCCUGGGGAGUACGGCCGCAAGGUUAAAACUCAAAGGAAUUGACGGGGACCCGCACAAGCGGUGGAUGAUGUGGAUUAAUUCGAUGCAACGCGAAAAACCUUACCUACCCUUGACAUGCCAGGAACUUGCCAGAGAUGGCUUGGUGCCCGAAAGGGAGCCUGGACACAGGUGCUGCAUGGCUGUCGUCAGCUCGUGUCGUGAGAUGUUGGGUUAAGUCCCGCAACGAGCGCAACCCUUGUCGUUAAUUGCCAUCAUUUGGUUGGGCACUUUAACGAGACUGCCGGUGACAAACCGGAGGAAGGUGGGGAUGACGUCAAGUCCUCAUGGCCCUUAUGGGUAGGGCUUCACACGUCAUACAAUGGUCGGUACAAAGGGUUGCCAAGCCGCGAGGCGGAGCCAAUCCCAGAAAGCCGAUCGUAGUCCGGAUUGCAGGCUGCAACUCGCCUGCAUGAAGUCGGAAUCGCUAGUAAUCGUGGAUCAGCAUGUCACGGUGAAUACGUUCCCGGGUCUUGUACACGCCGCCCGUCACACCAUGGGAGCGGGUUCCGCCAGAAGUAGGUAGCCUAACCGCAAGGGGGGCGCUUACCACGGCGGGGUUCGUGACUGGGGUGAAGUCGGAACAAGGUAGCCGUAGGGGAACCUGCGGCUG